rnacentral:misc_RNA from 1 species
UCGUCUGCGGAGUGCCAGCGG